rnacentral:rRNA from 1 species
CAAGUCGAACGCAUUGUGGUUGAAAUGAUAUGAAGAACUUGUUCAGAUUUGAUUUCAACAUUGCAAUGAGUGGCGAACGGGUGAGUAACACGUGGGAAACCUACCUCUUAGCAGGGGAUAACAUUUGGAACAAAUGCUAAUACCGUAUAAUAAUUAAAACCGCAUGGUUUUAGUUUAAAAGAUGGUCUUGCUAUCACUAAGAGAUGGUCCCGCGGUGUAUUAGUCAGUUGGUGAGGGUAAUGGCUCACCAAGACAAUGAUACAUAGCCGAGUUGAGAGACUGACCGGCCACAAUGGGACUGAGACACGGCCCAUACUCCUACGGGAGGCAGCAGUAGGGAAUCUUCCACAAUGGACGAAAGUCUGAUGGAGCAACGCCGCGUGUGUGAUGAAGGGUUUCGGCUCGUAAAACACUGUUGUAAGAGAAGAAUGGCAUUGAGAGUAACUGUUCAAUGUGUGACGGUAUCUUACCAGAAAGGAACGGCUAAAUACGUG